GUCUACGGCCAUACCACCUUGAACGUGCCUGGUCUCAUCUGAUCCCAGAAGCUAAGCAGAAGCUAAGCAGGGUCGGGCCUGGUUAGUACUUGGAUGAGAGACUAAUUUCUGUCCAGGGGUAAAUUGGUCUUAGAAU
rnacentral:rRNA from 1 species